UGGGGAAUAUUGCACAAUGGGCGCAAGCCUGAUGCAGCCAUGCCGCGUGUGUGAAGAAGGCCUUCGGGUUGUAAAGCACUUUCAGCGAGGAGGAAGGUGGUGAACUUAAUACGCUCAUCAAUUGACGUUACUCGCAGAAGAAGCACCGGCUAACUCCGUGCCAGCAGCCGCGGUAAUACGGAGGGUGCAAGCGUUAAUCGGAAUUACUGGGCGUAAAGCGCACGCAGGCGGUUUGUUAAGUCAGAUGUGAAAUCCCCGGGCUCAACCUGGGAACUGCAUUUGAAACUGGCAAGCUAGAGUCUCGUAGAGGGGGGUAGAAUUCCAGGUGUAGCGGUGAAAUGCGUAGAGAUCUGGAGGAAUACCGGUGGCGAAGGCGGCCCCCUGGACGAAGACUGACGCUCAGGUGCGAAAGCGUGGGGCAGCAAACAGGAUUAGAUACCCUGGUAGUCCACGCUGUAAACGAUGUCGAUUUGGAGGUUGUGCCCUUGAGGCGUGGCUUCCGGAGCUAACGCGUUAAAUCGACCGCCUGGGGAGUACGGCC
rnacentral:rRNA from 1 species